rnacentral:rRNA from 1 species
UACGUAGGGGGCUAGCGUUGUCCGGAAUCAUUGGGCGUAAGCGCGUGUAGGCGGCCCGAUAAGUCCGCUGUGAAAGUCCAGGGCUCAACCCUGGGAUGCCGGUGGAUACUGUCGGGCUCGAGUCCGGAAGAGGCGAGUGGAAUUCCUGGUGUAGCGGUGAAAUGCGCAGAUAUCAGGAGGAACACCAAUGGCGAAGGCAGCUCGCUGGGACGUGACUGACGCUGAGACGCGAAAGCGUGGGGAGCAAACAGG